GUGCUUGCUUCGGCAGCACAUAUACUAAAAUUGGAAAGAUACAGAGAAGAUUAGCAUGGCCUAUGCACAAGGAUGACACACAAAUUCGUGAAGCGUUCUGUAUUUAC
rnacentral:snRNA from 1 species